rnacentral:rRNA from 1 species
UUGAACGCUGGCGGCAUGCUUUACACAUGCAAGUCGAACGGUAACAGGUCUUCGGAUGCUGACGAGUGGCGAACGGGUGAGUAAUGCAUCGGAACGUGCCCAGUCGUGGGGGAUAACGCAGCGAAAGCUGUGCUAAUACCGCAUACGCCCUACGGGGGAAAGCAGGGGAUCUUCGGACCUUGCGUUAAUGGAGCGGCUGAUAUCUGAUUAGCUAGUAGGUGAGGUAAAGGCUCACCUAGGCUUCGAUCAGUAGCUGGUCUGAGAGGACGACCAGCCACACUGGAACUGAGACACGGUCCAGACUCCUACGGGAGGCAGCAGUGGGGAAUUUUGGACAAUGGACGCAAGUCUGAUCCAGCCAUUCCGCGUGCAGGACGAAGGCCUUCGGGUUGUAAACUGCUUUUGUACAGAACGAAAAGGUCUCUAUUAAUACUAGGGGCUCACGACGGUACUGUAAGAAUAAGCACCGGCUAACUACGUG